UCCCAUAUAGGUUGAUUGUCCUCUUAACCAAGGAGUGUGGAGACACUGGUAUGACAUACAGAUGAGAUGUGGGAGUACAUCAUCACUAAAUAAGUGACUCACCUGCUGAGUGCUCUACUAUCACGAGCAGCUCACAAAGUGUAUGGGCAUAAGUAUCCUUCAGACCUAAGAUCACCAUAGUGACUUGUAAGCAACUCACUGUGCUUUAGUGUCAGACUAUCUGUAUUUCUAAUGC
rnacentral:lncRNA from 1 species